AUUGAACGCUGGCGGCAUGCUUUACACAUGCAAGUCGAACGGCAGCGCGGGCUUCGGCCUGGCGGCGAGUGGCGAACGGGUGAGUAAUGCAUCGGAACGUGCCCAGUAGUGGGGGAUAGCCCGGCGAAAGCCGGAUUAAUACCGCAUACGACCUGAGGGUGAAAGCGGGGGACCGAAAGGCCUCGCGCUAUUGGAGCGGCCGAUGUCGGAUUAGCUAGUUGGUGGGGUAAAGGCUUACCAAGGCGACGAUCCGUAGCUGGUCUGAGAGGACGACCAGCCAACGGGGGAAUGAGAAACGGCCCAGACCCCCAGGGGGGGGAGGAGGGGGGAAUUUUGGAAAAGGGGGGCAACCCUGACCCAGCCAUGCCGCGGGCGGGAAGAAGGCCUUCGGGUUGUAAACCGUUUUUUUUGGGGAAGAAAUCCUCUGGGCUAAUACCCCGGGGGGAUGGCGGUACCGGAAGAAUAAGCACCGGCUAACUACGU
rnacentral:rRNA from 1 species